rnacentral:misc_RNA from 1 species
CCAACCUCCAAAAUGUCAUUCUUGGAACUAAGCUGGCUGUGCUCUUCCCUGCCAUUCCUCUUGCUAUAGCUGCUGAUUUUUAUAAAUUUGGCAGAGUAAGUUUGUUUCUCUUUCUCAUCAUUUCAUUCCUAUUAUUUUUUUCCCUUGUAAUGCAUAUUUCCUCCCAUUUAUAGAAUCAAACUUGUGAAUUUUUUUUUCUUUUUUGAAUGCUGGCUACCAUAUAUAUAUGAUACUAUAUUAAAUUAUUAAUUUAUCCAGAAAUUUGUCUUGCCACACUUAGCCUUGGCCAUUUGCUUUGAGGAUGCUUGGACUCACCCCACUUGCAGAACAUGUCAGCUUCCUCACUGAGUAAGCUUGCAACAAAAUUCAGAUAAUUUUUCUUUUCUUUUAAUUUAGUGCUUGUUCUAACAUUAUUAUUUUUUAAUUCUCCGUCAACUUGAAUUAGUGCCAGGUUUUUAUAUGGAAACAACAAAUACCGACUGUAUAACAAUCAGUGUGUUUGGAUCACCACUGCCACACGCCACGCCAUCGCUACAGGCCUGCAUGCCUUGCCAAUAAUUAUAGUUUCGGCAACCUGUGAGAUUCUCAGCCUUUUUUAAAUUCAAAUGCAAUGCCGCUGAUAUGAAUGGUGGUAUGUGAUACCGACAGUCUAACUGUCAGUAUCUUGCUUGAACGUACACUACAGACAUGGAUAAAUUCACCAUGCUUUGGGAAUUUGUUUGUUACACACACUUAAACAGGUAUUUCUUUUAAUUGACACACAUUUUUGGCAAAAUGCUCAUAUUCUGCAGUUAGGAGAAUAAUCAGGUCUUUGGAGAGUGUUUUGAGAAAGUAUGGCCAGCUGCUAUGCCUAUUCUAUCUUUUAUUUCUACAGUUGAACCCUUUUUCUCCUUUAGCCUACAUAAAUAAUUACCUUCCUCCUGUUUCUAUGUUAUUAUACCUCUCAGACAUCACUACUUCAAUGUUCUUAUUUCUCACACCACAGUCUUAAUUGUUAAUCAAUUAAAACCAUGCACUACCAUCUUAACCAUGCCUAACUACUGAGCUGAUAGCAUCACUAUAUCCAAAAAAGACGAUUUCCACAUCAAAGAAAUAUGUCCUAUAUGUAUUCCCACAUACUUUAAGCUCUAUGCUUAUAGACUAGGCUAUCCAUCAGUUGACAAAUGCUUACUAUCUAGACAAUUCUUUUCAAUGCAUUGGAGACUGAAGUGGUAGAUAAAAAAAAAUUGAAACAGAGAAUUCUCACGGUAAAAAUGAAAUCUAAAAUUCUCCUUGGAAAAGUAAAAAAGAAUGCCCAAAUCUGAAUAGCUAUAACCUUUGACCCACUUCAUUUUAACAUCAGUCCAGAUUUGCUCUUUCAUAUACUUUAAGAUCAAAUGGUUAGAACUAUAACGUAAAUGUCAAUGACCAUGGGAACACACUUCCCCACAUCCCCCAGCAUGCCAAAGGAAGAAACAUAAAGUUAACCCAAUACCACUGAGGUUAGCAAGAGGUAGAUAACCAUAACUAAAAGGGUUCUAUUCUCACAUAAUAUAUGACAAAAAUUUUGCCAAGUAUCACUUGAAUUUGAGCUGCAACUCCUAAUUCAGGUUAAUGGUCCUGCAUUCUAAAAUUGUUAAUCUUAAUCUUUUUUUUUUUUUUUAAAGAUUUUAUAACUCCAAAUGCAUGAAUAUACCUACAUCACUAACAGUUAAUUUCUCAAA